UGAUUCUAGGAUUCUAUAUAUAUAUCAAGGUUCUCAGUGAACAAUCAAGAAAUCUAAGACCUAUUGUGUGGCAUAACUAGGGUUUGGUAGCUUGAAAUAGGAUUGUGGUGAAGGGGAUGUGAAGAUAUAUACUUUAUAAACCUUGGGUGUUUGUUCAUAGUCUUGCCUUUUCAUUAUCUACUUUUAGCAGAAGAAACAAAAGAAAAUAUUGUAUAAAUGAGAGGUGAGUCAAAUAAGGUGGCUGCAUAAAUGUUCCUCUGACAUUUUAGACUCCAGAGAUUUUGUCAUCCCCUUUGGAUUUACUCAGUCGUUUGAGUUUGAGGUGUUCUGUAGUCUACAUUUGAAUCCCGUUAACAAUGUUAGCAGAUAUGAUUGAAGCAAGACAAUAAGUUAAGACUUUUUUACAGUAGUUCAGAAAAGAAAGACCACGAAUGAAGAGUAAAGGUGAAGAAAAGUUGUCUUCUCUGAGAUAAGUUUUAAAGUAGAACCUCCAAGGUGAGUUAAUGGAUGUGGUUGGGCUACUAGAUUUUUUGGCAUUCUUAAUAGCAAGUAAUAUGAAUAAGUAACAUCCAUAUUCCAUUCCUGAC
rnacentral:lncRNA from 13 species